GACGAACGCUGGCGGCGUGCCUAAUACAUGCAAGUAGAACGCAGUUGCGAACGGGUGAGUAACGCGUAGGUAACUGCCUCAUAGCGGGGGGUAACUAUUGGAAACGAUAGCUAAUACCGCAUACUGUGAGAUGGACCUGCGUUGUAUUAGCGAGUUGGGGAGGUAAAGGCUCACCAAGGCGACGAUACAUAGCCGACCUGAGAGGGUGUUCGGACACACAGGGACGGAUACACGGCCCAGAUUCGUACGGGAGGCAGCCGUAGGGAAUCUUCGGCAAUGGACGUGAGUCUGACCGAGCAACGCCGCGUGAGUGAAGCAGGUUUUCGGAUCGUAAGGCUCUGUUGUUAGAGAAGCGGUACCUAACCAGAAAGGGACGGCUAACUACGUGCCAGCAGCCGCGGUAAUUC
rnacentral:rRNA from 1 species